rnacentral:rRNA from 1 species
UACACACCGCCCGUCACACCAUGGGAGUGGGUUGCUCCAGAAGGCGUUAGUCUAACCGCAAGGAGGACGACGCCCACGGAGUGGUCCAUGACUGGGGGUGAAGUCGUAACAAGGUACCC